rnacentral:lncRNA from 1 species
AUUUUAUUUAAAGUAGAUUUAUUUAAGUUUUUAUAACAGAUAAUACAUCAUUCAAAAAAUAUGGAUAAAAUGUAUACUGUGAAUUAGCUUUCCCAUGCCUGUCCCAUGUAAUAGUGCUAACCUCUUAAUGUUUUUUAACCUCUUAAUAUUAAGUGAUGUUUAGUAUUCAUUCUUAUGUAUACUUACAGACAUAUUUUACAGCAUGAUAAAAGAAAAUAUAUAGUUUAUUUUUGCAGUUCUUUUGUUUGGAGUUGAUUUCAUCUCAGUAUACUAAUGAUUUUUUUUUAAUCUUCUGGACUCUUUCAUACUAGACUGAUGAUGUUUUUGAAUUAUCCUUUUCCACUAGUCAUGGCUCACUGACCCAUGGAAUUGUCUAAAAUUUCAACACUCUAACAACUGACUCAAAUAUAAGUUUCAUAAUAGUUUUUGAAGAACUCAAUAGCACCAAGGAGGUUUGGGAGAAAUUGCUGUCUGUUCCAUUAAUAAAAUCAUAUUCAGUUCAGUUCAGUCGCUCAGUCAUGUCCGACUCUUUGCGGCCCCAUUGUCCCCUUCUCCUCCUGCCUCCAAUCUUUCCCAGCAUCAGGAUCUUUU